AAGAACAAAUUCCAAAAAGCAGGCCUCACAAAGACAAAGAAUUGCAGCAAUGGCCCUGUGCUAGGUCUCAGGCUGUGGGAAUUCAAAAGAGAGACAAACACUGUACCCCUCCCUGCCCGCGCCCCGGCCGCAGAGCUGACCAAGCAGCCGCGCCCAGGUCGAGCAAAGAGAGCUGCUUCCCCGUCACACAGAAAACCCACCAAAGGACACCACGGCAGUUUUCCCCACGAGACAAAGUCUGUCUUGGCUUCGACCUGCCAGUUCAGAGGAAGGAGGCCUGUUCCUGAGUCUGUAGUGUGUGAUGAUGCACCCCGAGGAUGCAUUUGGUUUUCCUGUCUGCAGAGCUGCUACGGUUUCAUUUUCCCCUUUUGAUUUUCAAGUAUGUAAUUGUGUGUGUAACUCAACAGCACACACCUGGAUUCUCAGUAGUCCAGCCCAGACUGCAAAUACACUUCCUGGAGCUAUGGAAACUAUUUGUGCCAAGAUGCAAGAAGGAUUAGGAUACAGUCAGUAAACAGAGUACUAGAAAGAACACAGUAUGCUAGUGUGUUCUUUAAUUGCUGGCUCAUCUAUGGAGCAAUCCAAUCUAGCAAACAUCUGAAUUAAGGAAGACAGUGUUUUAAAUUCUGGUUUGUUUUCUUCUUUCAACAAGAAGUCAUAGAUCACCUGUGAACUGGGUUCUGAUGGAUUAUAUAAAACCUGGAAAAUGGAAUCCUUAUUAUGUAGAUUUCAUUAUUAAGCAGACACAUUGUAUCUCUCUCCUCAUUAUUCCAUUCUUGUGUGGUUCUUCCCUAAUUCUAACACACACUUACUUGAAAAUAAGUGAUUUAUGCAAAGUUCUGCAACAUUUCUUGCCUGCCUUUCUAAGACACACAGAACAACUUUUCUUGCUGGCUGGGAAAACUUUGAACUUGUAGAUACUAUUUAUGACAGCUCACAAGGAAUGUCUUGAUAAGACUACAAAGCAAAGUAAUGGCUUGAAAAAGUCAACUGAUGAAAAGGUUGGUAGGGAGGCA